GACGAACGCUGGCGGCGUGCUUAACACAUGCAAGUCGAACGCUGAAGCUCAGCUUUUGUUGGGUGGAUGAGUGGCGAACGGGUGAGUAACACGUGAGUAACCUGCCCCCUUCUUUGGGAUAACGCCCGGAAACGGGUGCUAAUACUGGAUAUUCACUGGUCUUCGCAUGGGGGUUGGUGGAAAGGGAUUUUCUGGGGGGGGAUGGGCUCGCGGCCUAUCAGCUUGUUGGGGGGGUGGUGGCCUACCAAGGCUUUGACGGGUAGCCGGGCUGGGAGGGUGACCGGUCACAUGGGGACGGAGAUUCGGCCCAGACUCCGACGGGAGGCAGCAGGGGGGAAAAUUGCACAAUGGGUGCAAGCCUGAUGCAGCGACGCAGCGUGAAGCAUGGAGGCCUUCGGGUUGUGAACCUCUUUCGCUCAUGGUCAAGCCGCAACAAUAGUUGUGGUGAGGGUAGUGGGUAAAGAAGCGCCGGCUAACUACGUG
rnacentral:rRNA from 1 species